rnacentral:rRNA from 1 species
CGCGUAGGCGGUUUCUUAAGUCUGAUGUGAAAGCCUUCGGCUUAACCGGAGUAGUGCAUUGGAAACUGGGAGACUUGAGUGCAGAAGAGGAGAGUGGAACUCCAUGUGUAGCGGUGAAAUGCGUAGAUAUAUGGAAGAGCACCAGUGGCGAGAGCGGCUCUCUGGUCUGUAACUGACGCUGAGGUUCGAAAGCGUGGGUAGCAAACAG